rnacentral:misc_RNA from 1 species
GAUGAAGAACGUAGCGAAAUGCGAUAAGUAAUGCGAAUUGCAGAAUUCAGUGAAUCAUCGAAUCUUUGAACGCACAUUGCGCCCGCCAGUAUUCUGGCGGGCAUGCCUGUCUGAGCGUCGUUUCGACCCUCGCGCCCGGCUUCUGUCGGGGGCGGUGUUGGGGAUCGGCCACACCCUUCAGUGGGAGGCCGGCCCCUAAAUUCCGUGGCGACCACGCUGUAGCCUCCCCUGCGUAGUACUAAAACCACCUCGCAGGCGGAGAGCGGUGCGGCCCGCCGUAAAACCCCCCAACUUUUACAAGGUCGACCUCAGAUCAGGUAGGAAUACCCGCUGAACUUAAGCAUAUCAAUAAGCGGAGGA